ACGAACGCUGGCGGCGUGCUUAACACAUGCAAGUCGAGCGGUAAGGCCUUUCGGGGUACACGAGCGGCGAACGGGUGAGUAACACGUGGGUGAUCUGCCCUGCACUUCGGGAUAAGCCUGGGAAACUGGGUCUAAUACCGGAUAUGACCUCAGGUUGCAUGACANGGGGUGGAAAGAUUUAUCGGUGCAGGAUGGGCCCGCGGCCUAUCAGCUUGUUGGUGGGGUAAUGGCCUACCAAGGCGACGACGGGUAGCCG
rnacentral:rRNA from 1 species